rnacentral:rRNA from 1 species
UACGGAGAGUGCAAACGUUGUUCGGAUUCACUGGGCGUAAAGGGCACGUAGGCGGCUCGGCAAAUCGGUCGUGGAAUCCAGACGCUUACCGUCUGAACGGCGGCCGAAAAUACCGGGCUCGAGGGCGUGAGGGGUCACUGGAACUCCUGGUGAAGCGGUGAAAUGCGUAGAGAUCGGCAGGAACACCCAGGGGGAAACCAGUCGACUGGGCAUCUACUGACGCUGAGGUGCGAGAGCGUGGGGAGCGAACCGG